rnacentral:tRNA from 1 species
GCGCCGAUGGUCUAGAGGUAUGACUUUGGCCUUCCAAGCCAACUGCCCGGGUUCAAAUCCCGGUCGGCGCA